rnacentral:rRNA from 1 species
AGUGAACGCUGGCGGUAGGCCUAACACAUGCAAGUCGAACGGCAGCACAGUAAGAGCUUGCUCUUACGGGUGGCGAGUGGCGGACGGGUUAGGAAUACAUCGGAAUCUACUUUUUCGUGGGGGAUAACGUAGGGAAACUUACGCUAAUACCGCAUACGACCUACGGGUGAAAGCAGGGGAUCUUCGGACCUUGCGCGAUUGGAUGAGCCGAUGUCGGAUUAGCUAGUUGGCGGGGUAAAGGCCCACCAAGGCGACGAUCCGUAGCUGGUCUGAGAGGAUGAUCAGCCACACUGGAACUGAGACACGGUCCAGACUCCUACGGGAGGCAGCAGUGGGGAAUAUUGGACAAUGGGCGCAAGCCUGAUCCAGCAAUACCGCGUGGGUGAAGAAGGCCUUCGGGUUGUAAAGCCCUUUUGUUGGGAAAGAAAAGCAGCAGGUUAAUACCCCGCUGUUCUGACGGUACCCAAAGAAUAAGCACCGGCUAACUUCGUG